UGGCUGUUUCAUAAAUGGUGUAUAUUCAAAGAAGAAGUGAAAGUCCGGCGUUUUGAAAAAUGAGCGUCUGCUGGCUGAAUGGGGAAAUGAGGCAUCAUUGCAACAAUCAUUCACUCUGGCCACUCGUUAUGAAAUAAGGCACAAUUCCCAAAUUUCAAAGUGAAACAUCAUUCAGAAGGAAUUGAAUAGUUCUUCUCUGAACAGAGCCCUCCGCUAUCAAUAUAAAGGUUACUAUAUGCCCAUGUGCUCCGGAUGCAGAAACGCUCAUUAAAUAAACACCAAAAUAGUGCAUCGAUGACUUUGUCUUUACCUCAAAAGAAAGUUGAUCUGCUCAGAAGAAAGACAGUGUGCAUAUUCAGAAACAUUAACUCUCUCAUGUUACGUUAAUUAUUUCCAAUGUUGGUCUAACGAAAUGGCACUCUUCUUUUUCCAUCCUUCUCCCUAAAUUACUUAUGCUAAGUUAACUUUUCCUAGCUUAUCAGAACUAAAGGGAGAUUUUGAUUUUUUGGGCUGGGAGGUCCCAUUCAUUAUCAUGACUUUAAAGUACAACCAAUAAUGGGAAGUUCUUAGGUGACAGUGAGCCAACCACACAAACAAGCUUGACCCUUUGUAUCCGGAAGGCUGCCAUUGCGAAGAAGAGCGUGUACAGUAAUCAUCAGACCACAAAGUUUUAAACCAGUGUCUCAAAAGACAAAAUGACUAACUUUGCAACAUAUUACUGGAAAUAACUUCAGAUGGCUGGGAUGCUUUUUCCCCCAAAGAAGGAAAUGCUUCCAGGUUAUGGAGUCUAAUGGGAGAAUCUUUGGAGGUGAUGGACCAUCUUAUGGAGCCAUCUGCACCCUAAGUUUUGUUCAUUUUCACGUUGUCUUCUCUCUGACUUACAAAAGUAUUGGAAUGUAAGGCUCUUCCAUGGGACCCAGAGGAAACAUUUUAUGGCCUCAGGAGGUUAAUCUAACUUCAUUGUAUUUCAAAAAUGAACGUAUUUGGCCUUGGUCAUGACACUUUUAUCAAAUCAUACUCAUAAACAUUAAUGGCUUAAACUGAGAGGCUUUGAUCCCUUGGGCUUUGGUGUGGACAAUGGUACUUAGUAGGUGACAGUUCUCUGUUGAACUAGUUUCAGGGAAUCAAACACAGGGCAUUUUAGUAGUCAAUCUGCUUUGGUAAAACGAAGCCUUUCUUUUCAGUAACCUUACCUAUAAUGGCUUUAUAAUCCGUA
rnacentral:lncRNA from 1 species